GUCGAGCGGCGGACGGGUGAGUAAUGCCUGGGAAAUUGCCCUGAUGUGGGGGAUAACCAUUGGAAACGAUGGCUAAUACCGCAUAAUAGCUUCGGCUCAAAGAGGGGGACCUUCGGGCCUCUCGCGUCAGGAUAUGCCCAGGUGGGAUUAGCUAGUUGGUGAGGUAAUGGCUCACCAAGGCGACGAUCCCUAGCUGGUCUGAGAGGAUGAUCAGCCACACUGGAACUGAGACACGGUCCAGACUCCUACGGGAGGCAGCAGUGGGGAAUAUUGCACAAUGGGCGCAAGCCUGAUGCAGCCAUGCCGCGUGUAUGAAGAAGGCCUUCGGGUUGUAAAGUACUUUCAGCAGUGAGGAAGGCAGGUACGUUAAUAGCGUGCUCGUUUGACGUUAGCUGCAGAAGAAGCACCGGCUAACUCCGUGCCAGCAGCCGCGGUAAUACGGAGGGUGCGAGCGUUAAUCGGAAUUACUGGGCGUAAAGCGCAUGCAGGUGGUUUGUUAA
rnacentral:rRNA from 1 species